CCUACGGGUGGCAACAGUGGGGAAUAUUGCACAAUGGGCGCAAGCCUGAUGCAGCCAUGCCGCGUGUGUGAAGAAGGCCUUCGGGUUGUAAAGCACUUUCAGCGGGGAGGAAGGCGGUGAGGUUAAUAACCUCACCGAUUGACGUUACCCGCAGAAGAAGCACCGGCUAACUCCGUGCCAGCAGCCGCGGUAAUACGGAGGGUGCAAGCGUUAAUCGGAAUUACUGGGCGUAAAGCGCACGCAGGCGGUCUGUCAAGUCGGAUGUGAAAUCCCCGGGCUCAACCUGGGAACUGCAUUCGAAACUGGCAGGCUAGAGUCUUGUAGAGGGGGGUAGAAUUCCAGGUGUAGCGGUGAAAUGCGUAGAGAUCUGGAGGAAUACCGGUGGCGAAGGCGGCCCCCUGGACAAAGACUGACGCUCAGGUGCGAAAGCGUGGGGAGCAAACAGGAUUAGAUACCCGAGUAGUC
rnacentral:rRNA from 1 species